rnacentral:rRNA from 1 species
GAUGAACGCUGGCGGCGUGCCUAAUACAUGCAAGUCGAGCGAACAGAUGAGGAGCUUGCUCCUCUGACGUUAGCGGCGGACGGGUGAGUAACACGUGGAUAACCUACCUUUAAGACUGGGAUAACUUCGGGAAACCGGAGCUAAUACCGGAUAAUAUAUUGAACCGCAUGGUUCAAUAGUGAAAGACGGUUUUGCUGUCACUUAUAGAUGGAUCCGCGCCGCAUUAGCUAGUUGGUAAGGUAACGGCUUACCAAGGCAACGAUGCGUAGCCGACCUGAGAGGGUGAUCGGCCACACUGGAACUGAGACACGGUCCAGACUCCUACGGGAGGCAGCAGUAGGGAAUCUUCCGCAAAGGGCGAAAGCCUGACGGAGCAACGCCGCGUGAGUGAUGAAGGUCUUCGGAUCGUAAAACUCUGUUAUUAGGGAAGAACAAAUGUGUAAGUAACUAUGCACGUCUUGACGGUACCUAAUCAGAAAGCCACGGCUAACUACGUG